GCCCCAGCGUACACCAACCAGUAUGGCGCUGGAGAGGAACCCCUCCACAGACAACCUCAGUCCUGUCUCGUCCCAUCGCCGCGGCCUGGGGGAGACUGCUUUCUGAUGCGGGAGGAGUCGCUGCCAUUCCUGAUAUCCCUCUGCAACCGGAGGCCUGACGGUGGAGCCCACUCCCACCAACUGGAGCCCCCCCACCUCCCCCCGUGCAAAAUCCUACACAGACAGAAAUCAAACGGUGUUUUUGGAGUCUCUGGCAUGGUCAGGGCACUUGGCUAGGACUGCCGAGUGAUGUUUCCGGGAAACAAUCGAGCAUGGACUGAUAGUCCCUGCAAUUUCACAAGAUGCCAUUGAGUCUUAUUGGAGCCACGCUGAAGUUUGAAGUGGAAUUAGGAAUUCAGCCGGCAGAGGGCAGGGCUGCAUUCGUUCCCAGUGCAAGCCGUGUUUCCCCGUAAGAGUUCAUAGAAAACCAAGACCUUAGCUAUAAAUGAACCACAGCCAGAUGUGAACAUCAUCUAUCCUUCUGUUCCUGAAAAACAAGGAAGACAUCAGAAAAAAAAAAAACCAAAAAACCCCACUCUUUGGGUAACAUGUAAUGAGGAUGGUCAUGAGGGCAGCUGAGCAAACACCAGUUAGGAUCUGAUGGAUACAAACUGAAGCAGUUCUGGGAAACCUUGUCCUCUCUUCACUGCUUCAACUCAAGUGGCAUCAACCUUAGCGUAACAUCAGGGAAUCAGUUUUGCUGAAGCUGAAACUUAGACAAUUUAU
rnacentral:lncRNA from 1 species